CUGGGCUGAGGGAGCGGCCGGCAGAAGUUGGUGACAAAGAUGCCGUGCCUCGCAGCCGGCGUGUUUCUUUGUGCGUUUAGCGGCGUGUCCCGACACCGUCCUCGCUCAGCGCGAUCGGCCGGCUGUUCUGUCCUGUGUGCGUCGCUUAAAGAAUUUAUUCUAUUGAGGAGGAAAAGCCUUCCUAAUUUCGGCGGAGGUUUUCCGAACGUGGUGUUGAAAUGGCAAGCGAAAAACAAUUUAUUUUUUGGUAAUUGGAUGUGCAAACCAAUCUUUAGGAAAUUGAAUGCAUUCUGCUUUGUCAUCCUGCUGCUGGCUUUACUGUUUUGAGUGGCUUUGCGCUAUUUCUGCUGCUGCUUCCUGUCCUUGACCCAAUGAUACAUUGUGAACUUCUCCCCAGUCGAUGGAAUCCUGGUAAAAUGCUGCAAAGGAUUUGAGGUUAUCAUCUGUCUCUCCCUAACUUCUGACAUCUCUUUAUAACAAGAAAGAGUCACAGCCAACUGUAACAGGAGGGCAACACAAUGAAUCCCGGUGCCAAAGCAGCUCAAUUAUGCCUGGUUUAUUACUGAUGAAGGUAAUUGGGUGGAGUAGCAGACAUCGGUGAAGGAAAAGCAGCUAGAAUGCAAUGUUUGCAAAGCAAGGCUUUGAGCUCCCCUCCUCUGUAAACAUUUGUCACUCCUUUCAAAGGGAAGAUGGAAACUCUUGGUAUGGAUGCAAAACUCAGAAGAGGUCUGUGCCAAAUAAGAGCAAGAACACAGCUGCACAAGACUCAGCACACUUCUCACAGACAAAAUGCAAUGAAGGAAAAGAAGGCACUUUAAGCUAAAUCAGAGAUCAUUAUAGAAUACUUUUUCCAUUCAGCUUGCACUAGAAGGAAUAUGUACAUGCGGCGGCAGCACUUGGGGUAUGAAGAGCUUCUUUGAAAGCAGAAGCAGUUGCCAGUGUUUGAGGUUUGGAUGGUGAGUGAGAAAAUCAGCUGUUCCUGCAGAGGUGCCCUCAGCAACAGCAGCUUCUGAGAAAUCCUGCUUUUGUGUCCUCAAUGAGAACACAGCCAGCUCUGUUUGCAGAAAGCAUUUUGGACCAACAUCUAUUGCCUGAGGAGGUUUCCAGAGGCCAAGCAGAGGCAAUCAGCUGUGUAAACAUUUCAAGGUACAGCAAGGAGCCAUAAACACAGAGCCAUAAAUGGAGCUUGUGCAGAUCCUUGCUGUACUGGUCUGUGAAGGCAUGCUGUUAUCUUUCAAACAGUGGUGCACGGGGGUGUUAGGCAAUGGUCGGGUCCUUCACCCUUGGCGUCUUACUGUGCUUGUUUUGCCUUCCAACUCCUCUUAACACCUCCAGUCUAUUUCAGAUACUAAACUCAAAGCCUUCCUGUUGGCAAAGGGGAACAUACUGCAUAUAAGGACCUAUUAAUUUAUUAGUUUAAGGUUUUCAACAGUCUAAUAGUAAAAAUUACCGAAUUCAUACAGGAAGAUGUCAUAAAAUAGAGUUGAAAUUGUUAGACAAAAUUUCCCUGUUCUCUUGUGUUGUGCUUACUCCUCCAGUGUGCCUUUGAGUCUUAAGACUGACAUUUUAGUAUUUCUCAAAAGGAAUGGGUGAGUAUGGUGAGUCAUCACCAGGAUGAGUGUGAUAUUCAGGGGUCAGGGGGAUGGCUUUUUUUCCUCUGUCUGGUGUAUUCUUGAAUUUUGUUUUAUGUUUUCUUAACACUAGAAACUCACUGUGAUUGAAUGACUAUGAUCUGCAUCCUCUGUGUUUGCACUCUUGUUUCCAUGACUUACUGUAGAGCCAUAGGCAAUUUAAUCCGCAAGAAAAAGCCACUUGUUUUUGUUAUAAACUAAAGUUAAAUUGAAACAAAUUGAGUUGCAUGUACCUCACAGCUACAUGCAGCCAAAAGAAUUUAAAAUCUACUUAGGCCAAGACAGAAUUGCUGAGGCCCAUUACCAUCAUGUCAACAUUAAACAGGGUUGGCCAUGCUUUCCCACCAGGUGCUCAAUCGCUGGUUCAAGCCCUGACUUAGCAUUUCCGCUACAGAGAAUCAUAGAAUCAUAAAAUGGCCUGGGUUGAAAAGGACUAUAAUGAUCAUCUCCUUUUUACCUCCCUGCUACGUGCAAGGUCACCAACCACUAGACCAGACUGCCCAGAGCCACAUCCAGCUUGGCCCUGAAUGCCUCCAGGGACAGGGAGGGACCAUAGCGUAAUCUGUGAGGCUAUAGGAUAAUUAAAAUAAUACACUUCAAUCUAAGAUAGAAACUUCACACACACACUCAGAGGAAUAUUUGUGAGGUAGCCCAGAAUUUCUGGAAUUGGGUAUGCAUACCAACACAGCUAGAUCCCACAUAUAUAUGAUUAUAGAGUGCUUAGAAACAGAAGUGCCAUGAUCAUAUAUAGUUAACUUUCGAGCUAAGCAAUCAUGUGAAGACUGGAAACUAAUAUCUUCACAUAUGUAUUGCGUAUUUCAAUAUUUUUUUCUGGCACUCAUCUGAAAGUCUCACUGGAAUAUUCCAUUUUCUGUGAUACUCUGUGUUCACAGGUGCAUAUUUUUAUUACAAGAAACACUCGUUUUAUAUAUCUCCAAAAUUAUGUGAUCACCACCUUGGUACAAAAAGAACUUUUCCAGCAACUUGGUACGUGAUUACAUAGCUUACAUAUAUGUAGCAUUUCCAGCAUGUGCUAUGUUCAGGAUGUUUUAAAAGAUUUCCAAUAUAGCAGUACAAAAAUUUAUUUAAGAACUCUGAUUUUUCCAUCACAAAAAUGUUUAUACCUUGUUGAACCAUCUUUGCUUUUAUGUUCUUUAAAUAUAUGCCCUUGUGCACCUCUGAGAAAAAUUUGGCUCUGACUUCUCUAUAGCUUCCCAUGAUGUAUUUUUAGGCAGCAAUAAAUCCCUGCCAUCCCCUUGGCCUUUUCAGGGCUGAGGAAUUGCAGCUCCCUCAGCCUCUCCUGGCACGUUGCCUGCCGCAGUCUGCGCUGCUCUAGUGCCGUAUGGCAGUGUCUGUCUUGUACUGCAGGAGAUACCAUAAUUAAAUUCGUAAUUUUCAUUUAUGGCUUCUACUUUUGUUCAUAUACUUCUUGACAGUGGAAUGCUUUUAACUUGUUCUGCAGCUGUACCCUCUUCUCAAAUGUUAUGCUGUGCCAGUUCGGUUGGAUGUGCUCCUGUUUCAGCUUUAAGUUUCCCUUCUGCAAAGUCCAAAUUUCUGCUUGCACUGCCUUUUCUACAUUUUCUUCUCUUGCUGCUAACCAGCACAUUAUAGGCUAGGCAAGAGAAGAAUUUAGGCUUUGUUUUCUUUAAAUUUUAGAAAAGGUUGCUUUGCUGCCUGAAUAGUUUUGCAAGAAGCUGGAUCCCAAGGGUACGCUCAUCACUGGCUUUAGACCAGACAAGUUUAGAAAGGAGAACAUUUCCAAAGAAGAUUUGAAGAUUAGAGGAGCAGCAGAGCUCAUCUGAGUUUGCACAAGUCUGGCAGCAUUUGGCUCUGCAGAGUGCAGACAUGGAGGGCGCCUGGUUUCCCCUGCAGUCAGUGAGAACAGAGGAUAGUCAUUGUGGCAGAAAGUAUUCUCCCUUUUGCAGGAUUUGACUCCUGAAGAACUCCACACUACAAUGAAAAACUCUUCCUCACAUCUCCCCAGUUCCAAUUCAGGAGCUUGAAAUGAUUGUAUUAGCAUUAGAAAUAUUACAAAGAAAUCAGUCUAAAAAUCAUUCUAGCAAAGGCAGUGGAGCUGCAAUUGCAGGUGCCAUGGAAUUUAGUGUGAAAGAUGGCAUUUCCAAAUUUGUUUCUGAAAUAUUUGAAAAGACUGUGUAAAGAGGGGAAGCAAGCAAACUAGCAGGCAGUGUUUUUUCCCUCUGUGGUUUUUGUGGACUAAGAAUAGAGGGAACACGUAGCAAGCAUCUUGCUAUUAGAUUUACCCAUGACAAAUAGUGCAGCUGCACAUAGUGUGCAAGAACAUCUGUAGACUCAUGACACAUGCAAAAUCCCCCACACUAAGAACGUGACAUUAUACUGAAAACAAUUCAGUUGUAAAAGCAAUAUAAAUCCAUUUUAUGUAGACUUUCUCCACCUUCUCCUCCCCUUCUCUUUUGAAUUAUGUUAACUGAAGAAUUCUGUCACUCCUACAUGACAUUAGUAAAAAUCACAAUGUAAAAGUGACUACACAUUUCAAAGUUGUCCCUUUUUUCAUUAGCAGUUGGAACGCAGGUAUGCCUUUCCUGGAGGAAAAGAAAGUUUAAGAAAGAAUAACCAGCAGCAGAAAUGCAUUAGAUACCAGAUCCUACUCCAAGUGGAUCUUGACAGGGUUUGGCAGCUGCAAUUUCACUCUUCAGAAAUCAAGGGGUGAUUUCCUGUGUCUCUUUGCAGUUGUUCAGUUCGAAGUGAGCAGUGGGAUUGCUACAAGCCUUUACUUCGCUGAUAUAAAUGCUUGCACAAAAUGCAGCAAUAGGGAACAAUAUGUGUAAAAUGUGUGGGUUUCUAAGAUAAAGGGAAAUUCCUUAGCUGGGAUUUUUUGAGUUCCCAUAGCUUCUUCAAGAAAUAAUGCAGUUAUUGUGGAAUUCUUUAGAAGUUCAUCUAAGCUCCACAUUGGCCUAAUGAAUCAUAGAAUGGCUUAGGUUGGAAGGGACCUUAAGGAUCAUCUAGUUCCAAACCCCUCCUUCUCCAAUACUUUCUUUGCAAUCUUUAGACUUACUGAAGUAAAAAGUCUUAAAAUGGCAACACAAAAACUAAUUUUUGUUGCAAGUCUGAGGUUGUCUAAAGACUUUGUGAUGGCAACGUCAUGAGAAGGCAGACCUCCGCAUGCUGUUAGUAUCUGGAUCAUCAUUAACUUGUUUCUUUGGAAACAUCUCACAGUCAGAACAGUUCAAAAUAACUAUCUGAACCUCCAAGAACGUUUCCCCAUUCUUUAUGUAGAUUGCAGAAUGAGACUGAAACUGGAUGGGUCAUCCAGCUGGGUCAUAAUUUUCAGCUCUCUGCCCAUUAAAUUCCUGCAACCUAACUGCAAAACCAUAACCCUUGAGAGCAAUGUAAUGAUGUUAUUGAUAGCAUAUAUUUUGAGCAUACUGACUUUCUGUAUUCUUUGGUCAAGUCCUUGGAAUUCAGUUUCCUUUCCUAGGUGAAGAAAGCCUUGUUUUUCUAUUUCAGAGAGAUAUAGAGCACAAAUGAGAAUGUUUUUUAAAGUACUCUGAAGAUGGAAAAAGUGUGCAAGUACCACUGAUGUGACCUGACAACAUUUGUUUACUACUAAGGGUAUAUUUAUCUCUUAAUUAAAUUAGAUUUGAUUCCUUAUUCAAUAACGCAGUGAUUUCUAACAUUCACUUCCUGGUUUGCACGUUCAGCAACUGUUCACACGAGAUACAUGAUGAUGUACAUCACCAUAGCAGGAAGGACCAUCCUGCAAUGCAGGAGUUGGGAAAUGCCCUUUUUUUAACCUGUUUUAUGUCCUCACCUUUCAUGCAGAGAAAUACACGUUCAGUGGUGAGUUGUGACUGCAAGUUGUGGCCUCUCCAUGCUGGCAAUGACUGCCUGUUUUCCACACUGUGCGCCUGAACGUCACUGCUGUAAUCCUUCUUUUGUUGCUGCCCGUGCAUUAGUUGGUCUCUGAGGUACACGACACAGCAGUUGCAAACAGCUCAAUAUAGUAAUGGGCUCUGGCGAAUAAUGAAAGUAGCGAUAAGGUUUUUAAAAAAUUAGCACUCUAAGGAGCUGUGGGAAAAUGUAGCAAAGCUGUUCUUAUACGGUAUGCAAAGCAGAGCACUUCAAUUCCACUUUUGCAGCUUUUACUUUAAAUAAAUUGAAGAGUUUUAUGAUCAUUUUAAAAGCCUCAUUUUAUUUUUCUCAAGGUGGAAUAACUGUGAGUAAACACACUGUUUUCCCAUAGACAAGCUAUUUGAGAAAUACAGGUAAUAAAAUAAACACCAGUCUAGAAAACAAACAUAGUUGUUUUAGACCAGAAGGAGACAAAAUCAGCAUUAAGAUUAUUAUUAUUGUAGCUGAUUUAAUUCUCAUUUGUUUAUCUUCAUUUCUGUCUCUGCUGCUGUGAGUCUUGUUUAUUAGCUUCUCAGCCAGGAGACUAUCCCGUAGGAAAUUACUGUCAGCAGCCAGAAAGAGUAUCAGCAAUUCAUCCUCAUGCACUGUCAACUUAAUUCUAAAGAAAUUUAGCUGCUUUGUAAGUUCACGCUGAAGCAGUGAGUUUACAAAUUGAUAAAUCAAACCAUAUUAAUAAAGAAAAUAUGUACCUCUUUUUCAAAUAUUCUGCUUUCCUAAAACUUUGUUGUAAGCACAGUUUUUAGUAAUCGCAUGUUCAAUUUCUAGAAAAAAAGAGAAAGAAAUCAAAUUAUAAAGUGUAUUCUGUACAAGGUUUAAAAUAGAAAAGCUAUCUAACUACUCCUUAUUCAGCCCUAAUAAAUGCACAUUGAACAUCCAGAAUGGUAGCAUGGUAUGGUACCUUUAAAUGGUGCCUGCUUUUACUGGGCUAUUUGAUUUGCUUAUUAGUCCCCACCUGUGGCUGAAGGCAAUGUCCUGCAGCAGCAGACCCUGAGUCCUUGUGUCCUUCUGCUCGUCCUACCAGCAUGUGAUAGAGGAGGCCUCAGGCCAGGAGUAGAAAUUUGUUUGCACUGAUUCACGUACCGCAGAAUGCGAUGAUUUCAGGCAUGGGAUUAUGCUGGAAUUGGUUGUAAUUAUAAAAGUCAUUUGUGAAUUCAAAAACUGAAUGUAAGCUGAUUUUGUGGUGUCCUCUUAAGUCUGCACAAGUAUUGGAUACCUGUCAUGGGCAUGCCAACAUCCACUGAUCUGCUGCAUGUAUCCACUGCUUACAACCAGGUUUAACGGACUCAGAAGACUUGCUCACUGGUGUUAUUGUGCAAGCUGACAAAUGACCUCUGGGAACACUGAGACACUUGCAUUCUAGCUCUGCUGUAAGUCUAGAGCGAUCUCCUGGGCUGUGGGGAGUUUCCCUGGGUUGAUAAUGGCAGGAAUGAGGUGGGGCUGUGUGUCCCUCUGAGCAGAGUGCUGCAUGCGGGAUGCAGCCUGCUGAGCACAGACAACACAGUGCAGCCAGGCCCUCACAUCGGGGCUGUGCCUGUGGCCUCUAUCCGGUGCUCAUCUAAUGUCCUUGAGCUGGUAUUUCCAAAUGUUUCCAAACUGACCUGCCACAUCCUGAGAAACAAUGAAGCUGGUUAAGGUUCUUCAGGUCUAAAAGAAGUCCCAGUUAGACAACAAGUGAGAAGCUUUCUGUGGGCUGUCAGCAAAAGGUCUAGCAGUGUAUAGAGCCGCAAGAGCACAACAGUCCAUAUGGGCAUAUCCUGUGUCUGUGGCUCAGCCCUCGGCCAAAACACACGGAACACAUCGCCCAGGGCACAGCUUAUUGCCACAGGCAGCGCGAGGCCUCAGCAUGCAUUCAGAUUCAGAGCUGCAACCAGCAGUUACUGAAUAGCAGCCACUUACCGAGUCUAGGCACACUAUGAAAAUCCUUGAAUCAAAUGUCCCCAAGGGAGUCAGAAAUUAAAGAUGCUCUUCCACUCCAGGCUGGGGCAUCCACUAGAUCAAUACUCAGCAUAAAGAGCUUUCUGCUUGUCAGUGCAGGGUGGGUCGGCAGUCAGGGGGGGCAAUCCUGGUAACAAGCAAACCAACAGGCAGCAUACCGAGUAACAGGAGAAAAUGAAGGUGGCAAUAAAGACCAGGAGGAAGGUACGGCAGUGAGGGGCCCUGUGAUGCCUGAAUUGGAAAGCGUUUUGCCUCUCAGCUUGAACUAUUUAAUUAAGGAAUUUCACAGUAAUUUUGACUAAGUUUAAAGAGCAAUCAUUUAAGUGCUCCGGCUCACUAAAUACUCUUGCAGUCUAACUAAACAGCGAAUGUGGAAACUGAAGGAAUUCAAUGACACUGCAUUAACAGUCCCUGCUCUCUGCCUGUGCCGUGGGUCAGUGCUGCCCUGCAGUUGCCCACAUGGGUGUACGUGCUGGGGGGACAGGGGAUGUUCCAGGACCCUGGGACACAGAUACAGGCCUGGGGGGCACAGGCUGCGGGAGAUGUUUUCUGUCAUUUCCUAGAGGGGGCAGGGAGGUAGGGCUGCUGGUUGCUGUAGGAGGGGCAAAAGGCACAGCUGAACUAGAAGGAGGGGAAAGGCUCAGGGAUAUAAUGAGGAGGUGGGGGGAAAUGACAUGGGAAUGAAAGGGUGAGUGAGCAUGUGAGAUAGCCACUCAUCCUGGCCUUAUUCUGUUCAAAGCAGUCCCUUGAAGGGUGGGUACAAGACUUGAACAGAGGGGAUGGAUGUCAAAAUGUUUCCAUAAAGAAUAUAGUGUAAUAAAUCAGAGAAAAGAGCAGAAAGGAGGUAAGGAGCAAACGGUAGGAGAAUUAUUUUUAUUCUGAGUGAAUGAUUAUGUCUCCUGGGUGAUUACACAUCAGGGAGGUGGUGUGUUGGGGACUAUUCAGCUAGAGAGAAAGGAGUGUUCAAAUUACAGUCAUUGAACUAUAGUGCAUGCAAGGGUGUAAAUAAGAAAGGAUCAAUUGGAGAACAUCCAGCUGGAUUCAGCACGGCUGGGGCACUGCAAUCCUUGGGAAUUAAGCCAAAUAUCAUACAGGUGAAAGAGAGCUUUCACGGGAAGAUACUUUGAAUUCCUGCAAGUCAGUGAGAUAGCCCACAAGGUAAGCAGCAAAGCCUAUCAAAAAUGACUGUGAAUAUGUUAACUUGCAAGUACUGGGUCAAAUAUAGGACUGACAGUUUCUUCUGCGUUAUCUACCAAAACAGGGCAAGAAAUAUCUGCUGUAGUAUGUAUUCCUCUAUAAAUCAUAGCAGUGUACGGCUGGAAAAAGACAAGGGAUAAAAUACCAGUGCUCUGUAUUCAUUUUUUUUACUUGAUGAGCUUUAAGUAAGUUGUAGUAGGGCUGUUAUAGUUUCUGGAGCAUUAAGAAAACACGUUGUGCAACACCCGGAACUCAGAAAAAAUAGUUGUCCUGUUUCCUUGGUAGCUUGACAGAUGUUUUUACCUGCGCUUUUGGCUACCAACUCGACCUUUCCCCCUUUGGCUCAAAGAAGACUUUCAAAUCUGAACUUUGAUGCCCUGGAGCAGAGGUGUGGUCAGUAUAUGCCAGCAAUGACAAUAUGUAAAGUCAGUGGUUAUUUUGUGGUCUUAGUCCUGCUAGGCGCUGUCUUCAGUGUUCUGUUUAGCAGGCAUUGUCUCAUCCAUCGUAUGGGGAAAGGCUCUAGAGCUACUGAUACUGGAUUGCGACCUGAAGAAAUAAAAGUCAUUCUAUCUUUGUAAUUAGCAUGAGGACUAUCCUGCAGUCAAAGCUAGCCACCUGGAAAGUUUCAUCUUGUAAUGUGCAGCUUUUUUUGUGAAUUAUGAAUGUGCAAAAAAGAGACCUUUCUCCCUACACCCCCUCCCUUGCACACUUCAAAUAUGAAUGAAUAAAUUUUAUUCAGUCUCUCCCAAAAGGAAAAAAUAAAAAAAAAACAAACCUAAACACAUAUUUCAGCUGAUAACAAGCAUGAGAAAUUUCAGAUGAAAAGAAAUUUUUUUUAAAGAAUAUUAUGAGCAUGGGAGAACAGCAGGUUAAGAGGGAAGGCUCAGUGAAGCCUUAGCUGUAACAAUUGCCAGCAAGCAAAUACUAUAUCCAAGCACUAAAUCUUGCUUUGUGCUGCCCUGGUGCACAGUAGUGGGAACAGAAUAGAAUAAUAAAAGCCGGUCCCCUUAUGCAAACAGCAGGGCAUAGCUCUCAACAGAAUACAAGGAGAAGGUGAGCCUGCCUACUGUUCUGGCUCGCUAACCAUAUUCCUGAGGUCUGUGGGUUAGUUGUCACCUCUAGCUCCAGUCAGUAAGUAAAUGUACUUCAAACAAUAGCAAGGGGCACAUUUUGGGUCUUUCCUGAAGAAUAUUGUACCAAUUCAUUGCCUCCAAAUAUGCUGUUCUAUUAAAGUAUUUGAAGGAAGUUCAUAUAAGCAACAUGGUGGUUUAACAGGUCAAAAAAGGGAGUGGAACAGCUGCGAGAAGUUUUCUGAUUAACUGUGUGUUUAGAAAAAUACAGGGCUGUGAGGAAGGUAUUACAUGCAAGCCCCCCUCCUUAUCACUGUGCUUUUUGAGUGAAGCACCCACAGGCUGUGGCUCAUGCCAAUACCGCUUCAAAAGUGAGUUUUCAAAAUAAUUAAAAAUUGCAAUCAAAUACAUUCCGGCAUUGUGUUUUCUCUUGCUCCUAAUACUGCUUUGUUGAUAAGCCCGUCUCAUAUUUUCUACCUAGAAAAUGAGAUUAAAGACACAUUCACCUAUUGUUAAUAAAAAUUGACUACUAUGACUAAAGAAUAAUGAACACUUCAGCAUUACCUUAUGGAUCCACAUCUAUUAUAACAUCAACUGAAGGGCUUUGCAUGUGGCAAGCAGGACACCAAAAAAAUUCUUCUAUUCUGCCACGAGUUGCCUGUUGCAAGUUGAGUUUGGCAGCCAGGGACCAAUAUUGAGUUGUCAGCAUCCUCUUGCAUAGUGGAAAAAGUUGUUGCUUUCUUGUGCAGAUGCGAGAGUUUCUGUGGGAAAACAGAACAUAAUCAUGGUUCUGAGUGUCUCUGUGGAUUGGCAAUGUCUCUAAUACAUAGAUCACUUGUGCAAAUUCAGUCCCAGCUGGAUGGGAAAUUAUUGAAAGUGGUUGUUGUUUGAUUGAUAUAAAUGAGUUGUCAGCUUGAUUCAGUGCCUCCAGGGCAGAUGUCCACAGUGUAAUUGGCACCUGUCAGAAGCAAAGAAUUCCUUGGUACAGAGUAACAACUACUCCUGCGACACCCCAAAACAGUGCUUGUGUGCCAGGACUCAGCAGGAAGGCAGGCGAACAGAGUUUCUACUUUGGGGCAGGAUCUUUUAUGCCAUAAAGGCAGCAAAAAAUUUGGUGCAAGGUUUUCCUGGGCUCUGGCUAGAGACCAUUGUUCAGUUCCUCUGCUGUUUGGGCAACGCUUUCCUGAAGAAUUAGAGGAAAGCACAUACAUUUGGAUAUUUGUUAACAUUGUCAUGGUACGAGUAUAUUCAUAAAGAAUUAUUAUAAGGAAUUACUUAUUGUAAGGAAUGUUGUGAACAAUUAUGUUUUCUUACAUCUUGAGCAAUUCUCCUCAUGACAACGACAGCCCCAGAACUAAGGAAAUAGGAGAGUGUCUUCUCAGAAAAAAAAAUAUGGCAAAGAAACCACCGCUACUGGCGGUACUAACGUGUUUGCUAAUGGUAAACAGCAACCUGUUGCUUACCAAAGACUGGAACAAAGCAGAUUUUCUCCAUGAGUUCACUCUCCCAUUGCCGGACUGCUGAGCUGGCCACCUCCAUGGGGCUGCUGCUCUGGGAGGCACCAGCUGAAGGGCUGUCCAUUAAAAUUCAUUUUACCGUCUUCAUCUAGUGAAUGGCUCAACUUUCCUUCUCUCCUUUCAUCUCUGUUUCCUCCUUUAGAUUAUUUUUCAUUAUGCCUCCCCCCAACAUACACACACUUUCCCUUUCAUCUCUAUAUGUAUGCUAUUCCAGCACUUGUCAGCCACAGCAGGAGGGACAUGGUAGAACCAAACAAUAUGAUCUGUUAGGUGGAAGAAAAUAUUAUUAUCAGCCGCCUUAGAACAAUCAUUUAUCAUCGCAUUUUAAAGAGGUCUGCUAUGUUAUUUAUUUUAUUAUUCUGUAUUAGGUACAUGAUUUAAUUUUACAGGCAUUAUUAAUCACUAAAAUACAUUACACUUUCAGCCAGGAUGUUAACAUUUUAAAUGCAUUCAUCUUGCUUCUUAAAACAGAAACAAUGGGCCUUCUGCAGUGCCCUCCCUCCCCUUCAGUCAAUAAAUCCUUUCUAUUGAUUCAGGAAAUAACUCUAAGCACUGUUUUAUAUUUUAAGUUCUACUAGCCACGCUCAGCCAUGUAAUUUUGCUUAAUAACAAAUGGAUCUUCUAUUUUUGCUGGUUACAACACGUUUGGUUAUCAAACUCAGUUUGGAAGUACCCGGUAACAGAGCACACCGACCAUGGCAGAGAGGCACUGCAAGAGAGUUCCUAAAUGAAUGUUACAUUAAAAUAAAGUAUCUUUUAAAAGUAUUUGUGCAUGUGUACAAAAAGCAGCCUCAUCAGGAGACAAAUGAUAAAUGAAAAAUCCAUCAGUGCUACAGAUUCCCUUGAGCCAGCUUGGAUCAACAGACAAAAUGGAUUUUUGAUAAAUCAUGGCUUUGCCAUUGUUUAUUCUCUCCUGGAAUACCCAUUGCAAAUCUCAGAGAGAUAAUUAGAGAAUUAUCAUAUUGCUUAACUAAGUAGUUGUGUUAUAUUCUGCGUAUCCCAACCCAGGGCAGUAUCAUUAGCAUUGUUUAAUUGUUGCAAAUACGGUCAUUCUAUUUAAUAAAUUGUCUUCAUUGUCAAUAUCUCUGAUUGACUAUUUCUCUUCUCAUAAUGUUGUUGGAUAGGUUAGUUACCAGGUAAUCUUACAGUUAAUACAUAACACAAUGAGGCAAAAUGUAAGAAAAUGCAAAGGUCAAAAACAUGUUUCUAUUAUGAAAAAAAUGAAUGAUAAUGACAUAAUUUUUUCAGCUCAUCAGGUUCUUUGCUAAGUGCCUCUGUUAUUGCCAGAUCAGUAGUGUAUAACAAAGGAGUGCUUUCUGUAGGCUGCUUCAUUAGCCUGCCCUGUAGGACCUCACCUCAGACCUUUCACUAAUCUGUUGGCCAGCUCAAUAGCCUUGUUAGUUCUAUUCACUUCUUCCUGGCAGCGGCUUUUCUCAGCUGUAGCUCUCAAAGGCAGUGGUUAAGGCAGCCAGAAUUAUGUCUAGUUCCUUCAAAUAAAAACAGUGAGAAACAACUUGGGCAUUGUAAGGACACAUAAAAAUAUUUCUGCUGUCCCAUUUUAUAUUUCUGGAAGUUAAAUUAUGCAGUGUAAGAAAGGUGUAAACAUCAACUGCUCUUCGAGCUUUUGUCUAGGUCAUGCUCCAAAGGCAGAUUUGAGAAAAGCUCUGGAAAAUCAUGGCCGGUCCUCUAAUGUCCCUUGCUUGUUCACAGCAGCAUUAAAAGUGAAACUGCAAACUUGAUCUUGUACCAAUCAGUAAAAUAGAAAUGCCACCUUCUCCCACAGAAUUUUGAAAUGUAGCAAAAUAUAUUUCUUACUACAGCUAUAUUUGCUGUAUAUAGGUGAUCAAAAGCUCUCUGCAAAGAUGUCUGUUUGGAAACUGAAGAGAAUAGAAAUUUUAAAGGUGAUUGAUAGAUAAAACACUUGCAAAUGCACAAGUCAGUGUCCUUUGCUGACUUUCAAUUAGACUGGUUUCCAAGUGCAGUGAGCCUUACAAAAAGCAGCCUGAAAUCCCCAAACCUAGGAGCAGGCAGCUCCGCACCCACUGCAUUGUCGCACUGAGGCAUGCAUACAGUCCCACUGGGUUACAACCCACAUUGUCCCCAGGGAGGAGCAUGAGGGAGUGCAGCAUGGGUGGCUGGGCAGGGACAUACAGCGUGGGGCAGCUGUAAAGACCCCUGCACAGCGAAUGUGUGGAUAUUUGUGGACGUCUGUAGAGAGAGCACGCAGCCAACAAAAUGGAUGGGAAAUGGUGGCCUUCCUGAGCAGCAGGUGCCUGUGCUGCCUGACUGACCUCAGUGCUGUCCUGGGGACUCCCUGUGCUUUUCCCCAGAGUAAUGCUGAGUGACCUCCUCAGAGUUCCCUGCCUUAGGGACAAGGAAGGAGCUAGGUAUGGGGCAGAUAGUUGUUUUGUUGAGGUGCUUUGGAAGAACACUGAAUGGCAGAACAACCAUUUCUAGGCAGCCCUAAGACAGCCUUUGCAGAAGGCUCAGCUUGUGCGGAGCAGGGAGGCAGGGCUUGGGCCCACCACAGGUAUGAUGCGUCAUGUUUCAGCUGCAGCCUCAGCUGGCUGUGGAGGCUGCACCAUUUACCUGAAAUUGUUAAAAAUGCUAGCGUGUGAUAAAUUACUCUGGCAAAUACCUCUGCUUUGUACAAUGAAUCACACCAGAAAGACCUCAGACAGAGAAAGAUAUUAUAAAUAAAUGAAUUUUAAAGGUCUCAAAACUGACCAGUCUUCCGGGUGUUAAAGUUCAGGUCCUUGGGCCCACCAGAAUCCCAGUUUCCCUUAAGAUCUUUGUCUUCCACAGCAACACGCUCCCACAAAGCUUGCUGCUGUGUAUUUACACUACCUAUACACAAAUGAUGACAGACAAAUGGACAACAAGAGAGAUCAAGGGCCUGGCACUAAACCCAAGGGAAUAGAGAGAGAAAGAAGGGUGAAAAAAGUGACUUGCUGCACCAAGUGAGGCUGUUGCAGCUCCUGGGCAGGCAGCAAAACCUACCUGGCGCUGCUUCAGCAGGUCCCAAGAAACCAGAAAUGAUUUCUCACUGUUUUGGCUCUACUGAGCCAGGCUGAAACACAGCACAGUGCCCUGCUCUCUGUUCACUGUUGAACAGCUUUUUGUCUUCUAAAAGGAUAGAAUAAAAAUUAGUUAUCUGGGGUGAAAUAUAAGUAGACAACCGAGACAUAAAAACCAAUAUAUAUGUGGUUAAACAGGGAAAGAACAGUUUCAGUUCAUACUGGGCAAAACUAUGACCUGUGGGAACCGCUAGUGGCAGAGUGCAGCUGGACAGGAGCCAUGUUGUGAGGCUGACAAUGUCCGCUUCUCCGUAAUUAUUUCCAAGGCUUUAUCAUAUGAAACAGUGCAUGCCAGGAAACACGCUGCUCACUGCUGGGUACCACUCCUUCUCCCCAUCUCCUUCUAGCUCAUUUGCAAUGUGAACACCUUGCCUCAUUCCCCUCCUUUGGCAUGGUGUUUGUGGUGGGCAUGGGCCUGGGCAGGGGGGCUGUGCAGCUCUGCUCCCUGCCCAGGAGGGAGCCCAGAGCAAUCGGGCCCAGAGUGGACUGCAACCUAAUGGAUGAGCCACGUUUGUGACUUUCCAUAAAUAAUGUGCUAAAUGGAUAAAAAGAUACCAUUUUUCCUUCUUUCCCCUGAGUUACUGAUAACAAGACAAGUUCCUUCCCUUACAGUUUGUGCAUAUAAAUGUGAUUAAUGUGAAAAAAAAUAAAAUUAAAGUGCCAAAAUUUCUUUCUCUCUCUCUCUUUUUCUAAAGCAUUGCCCUUUUCAAAACAAGGGGAAAUUCAGUAUAGUUUCAGUGCCACAGUGAUCAAACAGUGUCACAUCACUAUGGCAAUUGCUGCCCAGGCCAGGAAUACAGAUCAGCUUUAAUUGUGCAACGCCUUAUUGCUGGUGCAUGUCAAUCAGAACCUAUGAAUUGAGAAAAAUUUGCUCUGUUCAUUCUGUUAAAUGAUGUAUCCAAUUAAACCUGUUAGAAUUCAUGAUCUUCAGUCAAGGUUAAAUGAAAGUAGUUACUCCUGUCAGCUAGGUGAUUAAAUGCUGCCUACAUCAGGCACAUUUAUGUGCAAAAUUAAAAUUUUGGUAUAAAGCAUGAAUCUUUAUGCAUGCCAGUUAAUUAUCUUGCGGUUCCUCCAUUUAUUAAAUGCCCACUGCAUUUCUUCUUAAUCAUCAGCUUCCUUUCAAAACUUAUUUCAUACUUUAUACUAUACCAAAUUUCAAUGUUUAAAAUGAAAGCUGUUUCAAUGAAAACUUCCUCUUUGCAAGGGCUUGGCUGUUGCUACAAUACUGAAGAUGGCCAUUAACAGUUUUUGAGUCAUUAUACAGAAGGCUGAUGUGUGUUGUUUUGUUUAAUCCAUAGAGCACGCAACAGGAACUCCUGAGCUGCUGCAGCCGGCCAUCCCUUCCAUCCCAGAGCUGCCAGGGUCUGGCUGCAGUCAGCCAACUUCAAGGCCCUGCAGGCAGUGGGGAUCAGGACAGUGGCUGUCCUGUUGAGUACAGUGGCAGAAGGACCAGAAGACAGCAGGGCACAGGCACUAGGGCAAGCCCACAGGCACUGGAGCCACUGCAGCCCUGAUGCCCACUCCCCUGCCAGCCUUCAGCCAGCACCUGUAUUCCUUUAGGUUUGGCAAAGUGCUGCGUCCUGUUUGCCCUAGGCAGCUACCACAUUGCAAUAUCACACUUUAAUUAGAAGGAAAAUAAUAUGUUGCAUGCUUAAAAUUAAAUUCAGUUGCAUAUUUAUAUUUAUAAGACACACUAUGGGCAGGAUUUAAAUGCCAUAUGAAUUGAGGAAGCAGAAUAUAGGUGUAUUAUAGUGAUUUCUAGCUGAAACAGUUGCUGGAAAUGCAUACAAAGCAGAGCAGCACCAAAUGCUAAUUUAAUACCCUAAGACAACGCUCCAUGCUCAUACAAGCACAAUUUCAAAUAUUCUAUGUGUGCAUUUAUCCCUUUUCAUUAUGAAAAGAUAUUAAGAACCGUAGUGACAAACACGCAACAUAAAAAAUAUGUCAUACCACUUCAUGACUACUAAUGAAUAAUAUCAUUUAAAACAGACUGGGAAAUAAACUAGUAUAACACGUUCUACUAAACUAGUACUAUAAAUAUGCACAAGGUUGUUAUUAAAGAUAAAUGCACACAGUAAUUUUCUACUUGUAGGUUUUACAGGUAUAAUUUUGAAUCAUACAAUAUUUUUUAACACACAUCACAGUGAUGGGAGCCAACGGGAGCCUGACAGGCAGUGGCUCCCCAGGACCAAUCUCUGAUGUCUCCAUCUCUCCUUGAGAACCCACAUUAAUUAUCGUGGCCGCAGGAACCGUCAGGACGCGAUGAUGCUCAGGUCACAGCAGGCAGCCUCUGACCCUGCAGCAGUUCCACCCGUGGCAUGGCGAUCAUGCUUGCAGAGCUCGCCAGAUGCCCCGACCAGCAAUGCAUGACCCCCCCCAACUUCUAGGAGGUGGCUCAUUUUCUCUGGCACAUGCACCUUCUGCUGCAGACAACAGAGAAAAACAGGUAUUGCUUUCCUUUACUGUUCAGCAACUAUCAGCUCAGUCUCUCUAGAUAUCUCAGCAAAAGAGGAGUAAAGGAAACCUUCACAGUCACAGAUAACAAUUCCUCCAGGAUCUGUCAGGAGUGCCGCAGCAGGAAGGCAGCUAACAGCGAGCCGCCUCGCAAGCUUUGAGAUGUCUGCUGCCGAACUGCUUCAGCCCGUCGCUUGGACCAUCCAGAACUUAGUGCCUAUUUUCCUUUCUCCGUGUGUUUUUUCAUUCUGGUACUCCAGACCCAGGCGUAAGUUGUUAACCCCAGGCCCAAUGUGCCUUAAUGUCACCCCAUGAAGUGAUACUGUCAGGACAAUUUGUUUCUGCUCAAAACAAUUUCCCUUUCUUAAAAUUGUGACUGUUAGGUUAGCAUCCCAUUGAGAUGAGAGGAGAAAAGAGCUGCAGCUUCUAAAAUUUUAAGGUAGACAAGCUGCAAUGAUUUAUCGUCAGCUUGCUGUUUUAUAUCCAUAAGAGCAAAACAUUUCUUCUUAGUGACGAUUAAAUUGUGCAGAAACUGACUGACAUUGAUAAGGCAAACACCACAGUCUGCUUAAACAGACUGAGAGCUGCAGAUCAGGUGCUGCUUGACCAAAAGAAUUUAAGUGUACACACAUACACAUGCAUUUAUUUGAUUCCAUAGGCAAUUUUCUCUCACAGCACAUAUAAAGCAAUGUAUGAAGAUAAAACAAAAUUGGCAUGGAAUUACCUGUUUUUAGUAGAUAUAUUUACAAAGAAUUUGUGGUUUGGAUUACAGUCAUUUUCAUGUAAAACUUACUUAGAAAGUAAUUAAGCUUAUUUUAUCUAUUAAUUCAUAUUUUUUGUUUUGUAUUCUGCUGCUAAAACAAAACUAAAAACUAUGGAAGGAUGGAUUUUUUUUUUUGCUGGAUAUUAGAAAUGAAUAGAACAAGGGUUGUUAAUGUUUGUCAUUUUCCUUAUCUGUACACAUGAAUAUGUUAUAUGCUCAUUUCCAUUGCAAAUGGAACAUCAAAAUGAUCAUUGCAAACUGAAACAUACUGUACAUUUCAUUACUUCAUUUCUUUGAAAAUACUGACAAAAAUAAUCAAUUGCUAGAAUUCUUGUACUAAAGCUUUGCAACUCAAUGAAAAUUGAAUGAAUAAUGGUGUCCAUCCAGAAUAAAGCUGGCAUCAUCCUCCAGAGGGUCACUGCUGUCCCCUUCUGUAACAAAGUCAGCCCAUGGAGCCCUGAAUCACAACAGGACAACUGUGCCAGGCACUGCACAACACAACUGUGCAAAGCUCUGCACAAACACAUGGUCACUUUGCUUCUGGCACACCUUUCCUCCACUCUCCUCGCAUUUAAUGUAACAAAAUGAAGGCAGAGAGGAGAUGUGACUUAUUAUAAUCACAUCAGUGAGCAAAUACUGAAAAGGAAAAAGAAGUAUUUGAGAUAAAGAACAAAAUAGCUGCAAAUAUAUUCAGACUGACAGUUAGGAGGUUUUUAUCCAUCUGAGCAGUGCAGUUUUGGAGCUGCAUUUCUACAGCAGCUGUGGAGAGAAACCUCCGUAGAGCUAGGCAGAAACUCACACCAUUUGGGAAAGGGAGCUGAGGCUUUAGCUUUCAAUUACUCUGUGUUUGUUGUUCAGAGUACAACAAUGUCUCAUUCUUAAUCAUCUCUAGAGAGUUCCAAAAUGUAGUAAUGAAUUAAAAAAUGCAGUGAGAGAUAGUGCCUAGCCCAAAGUGGGGCUUUUGUCAUAGGAAACAGAACCAGAGGAAGAAAAAGAUAUAAAAGCGGGGAUUAGCUCAGAGCCCAGAAUGACAUUUGAAGACACAGUUAAAAAAAAAACAAUAAAUCUCAAUAUGGAAGGAGGACUGGGGCUCUUGACAAAAUGAUGAGACUGUCAGCCAGAAAACAAAAACAAUAUGGAAUAAAUACGCAGGAAUAAAAACAUAGGGUGUAAAACGGGAAGGUAAACCACAUCCUUCUGAGCUGAAAGGACCCAUAAUCAUGUACACCUGGUCUUACUGCUAAUGGGACAACAGGUCGUACCCGGAAAACCCUUACUUAUGCAAGUAAUCCUACUAAAAUCAAUUGUAACCCAUGACUGUAAUGACUGCUUCCUUGUCUCUGUUAGGGAUUGCAAGGUCAGGUCCAUUUUCUGUGCAAUAUUGGAUGAAUGCUAGAAAAUCAAUAGCUCUAUUGAGACUUCUUCUUUUGGAGUAAAAAUAAACCUGGAUCAUUUUAAGUUCAAAUGUUCAUUGUUCUUGGGUGUUUUUAUAAAUUCCUUCUGAAAGCAAAAUGGCCAAAACAAAAUGGAGUGAAAUGCUCACCUUUUUGGUGUGUUUUACAGCUUGUUUCUAUAACUAGCUUUGUAAUGCUGUAAAGGUUAAAGGCAACUUCAUCAUUUCUUUGUAUUUGUUCUCCAUCAGUUAAAAUUGACAUAAACUG